rnacentral:rRNA from 1 species
AGUGAACGCUGGCGGUAGGCCUAACACAUGCAAGUCGAACGGCAGCACAGUAAGAGCUUGCUCUUACGGGUGGCGAGUGGCGGACGGGUGAGGAAUACAUCGGAAUCUACUUUUUCGUGGGGGAUAACGUAGGGAAACUUACGCUAAUACCGCAUACGACCUACGGGUGAAAGCAUGGGAUCUUCGGACCUUGCGCGAUUGAAUGAGCCGAUGUCGGAUUAGCUAGUUGGUGGGGUAAAGGCCCACCAAGGCGACGAUCCGUAGCUGGUCUGAGAGGAUGAUCAGCCACACUGGAACUGAGACACGGUCCAGACUCCUACGGGAGGCAGCAGUGGGGAAUAUUGGACAAUGGGCGCAAGCCUGAUCCAGCCAUACCGCGUGGGUGAAGAAGGCCUUCGGGUUGUAAAGCCCUUUUGUUGGGAAAGAAAAGCAGCAGGUUAAUACCCCGCUGUUCUGACGGUACCCACAGAAUAAGCACCGGCUAACUUCGUG